AUGAGCAGAAGUGAAAUUGAACACUUCAUCACUCGGAGCUUUUCUUCAUUCAGACUGAAAAUAAACCAGAAGAAGAAGAAGAUGAAGAUCAUCAGCGUCUGUUUCUGGACACUCGCUCUUUCUGUUCAAGAAAUGACAGCACAGAUUUCAGUGACUCAAACUCCAUCAGCAGCAGCUCCAGCAGGAGAAACUGUGACUAUAAACUGUCAGACUAGCAGAGGAAUUAGAGAUCGAUCACAAGGAUGUAGUGACUGUCUCUCCUGGUAUCUGCAUAAACCUGGAGAAGCUCCUAAACUCCUCAUUUAUUAUAUUAACCGUCUCCAGUCAGGAACUCCAGCCAGAUUCAGUGGCAGUGGAGAAAAUUAUGGCACAGAUUUCACUCUGAGCAUCAGUGGAGUCCAGACUGAAGAUGCUGGACAUUAUUACUGUAUGGGUGUACACUGGAUGAACAGUAACUGGGUGUUCACACAGUGA